AAGACUAUACUUCACAGGAUCAUUUCUGUAGUCAGUCUUCUUUUACUUUAAAUGCAAAGUAAACACACCUUUACCCGCGAUGAGGAGGUAUAUCGGUUUGUCUGUAGCGUGAGGAUAUGAGUAUUUUCCCUAAUCUGAUUCGUAUCAGAGUUUGGGAGGAAAUAUUCUUCGAUGAUCGCUCGGUUAAACAGGCAAAACGACUUCUGAGUGGU